UACGUAGGGUGCGAGCGUUGUCCGGAAUUAUUGGGCGUAAAGGGCUCGUAGGCGGUUUGUCGCGUCGGGAGUGAAAACACCGGGCUUAACUCGGUGCUUGCUUUCGAUACGGGCAGACUAGAGGUAUGCAGGGGAGAACGGAAUUCCUGGUGUAGCGGUGAAAUGCGCAGAUAUCAAGUGGAACACCAGUGGCGAAGGCGAGUCUCUGGACAUUUCCUGACGCUGAGGCACGAAAGCCAGGGGAGCAAACGGG
rnacentral:rRNA from 1 species